UCGAGACCCUGAUCGGAAGACCGCGAACUUGUAAACGGAUGACCCGGGGUGACUGGGCCCGUCCCUACCACCCCGGGGCCUUGCCUCCCCGUCCGAUGUGUCGCCACACCUCGGACGGGGUAGGCGGGGGACGGACAAAACCCCGGCGCGGCCAGCGCCAAGGAUCAUAUAAUUGGAGUAGGGUGUGCCGCGGCCCUUGCGGGCUGGCGGUGCUCCCUGAAAAAUCUUUAAGACUCUCGGCAACGGAUAUCUCGGCUCUUACAUCGAUGAAGAACGUAGCGAAAUGCGAUACUUGGUGUGAAUUGCAGAAUCCCGUGAACCAUCGAGUCUUUGAACGCAAGUUGCGCCCGAGGCCCUUGGGUCGAGGGCACGCCUGCCUGGGCGUCACGCCUCGCAUCGGACUGCACCAACUGGUUCUGGUGUGGCUUCGGAGASUGGCCUUCCGUGCACCCGAGCGCGGUGGGCUUAAGAGAGGGCUGUCGGCCGGGUAGGCACGACAAGUGGUGGACUUUGUGCCAGCAGGAUGCCGUGUCCCCGGUCGUCGAAGAGCCAAAUACACCCGCAUAGGGCGUGCAGAUGCGCUCCUGCUCGGGAGGGCGUGCCGCCUCGCAAC
rnacentral:misc_RNA from 1 species